UACUCCUACGGGAGGCAGCAGUGAGGAAUAUUGGUCAAUGGAGGCAACUCUGAACCAGCCAUGCCGCGUGCAGGAUGACGGUCCUAUGGAUUGUAAACUGCUUUUGUACGGGAAGAAAACAAACUACGCGUAGUUAAUUGACGGUACCG
rnacentral:rRNA from 1 species